CUCCAGAUGUUGCUGAACUACAACUCUCAUAAGCUCUGGUCAUUGGUCCUGUUUGCUGGGGCUGACAGGAGUUGUAUUUCAGCAACAUCUUGAG